rnacentral:rRNA from 1 species
AUUGAACGCUGGCGGCAGGCCUAACACAUGCAAGUCGAGCGGAUGAAGGGAGCUUGCUCCUGGAUUCAGCGGCGGACGGGUGAGUAAUGCCUAGGAAUCUGCCUGGUAGUGGGGGAUAACGUCCGGAAACGGGCGCUAAUACCGCAUACGUCCUGAGGGAGAAAGUGGGGGAUCUUCGGACCUCACGCUAUCAGAUGAGCCUAGGUCGGAUUAGCUAGUUGGUGGGGUAAAGGCCUACCAAGGCGACGAUCCGUAACUGGUCUGAGAGGAUGAUCGGUCACACUAGAACUGAGACACGGUCCAGACUCCUACGGGAGGCAGCAGUGGGGAAUAUUGGACAAUGGGCGGAAGCCUGAUCCAGCCAUGCCGCGUGUGUGAAGAAGGUCUUCGGAUUGUAAAGCACUUUAAGUUGGGAGGAAGGGCAGUAAGUUAAUACCUUGCUGUUUUGACGUUACCAACAGAAUAAGCACCGGCUAACUUCGUG